AGUCACAUUAGACUAUCUCUAUCUCCUUCAAGUCCAACAGUUGAAAACCUUAAAACCCCUCGAUUACUCGUUUCCUUGCAAAAAUUCCACACAUCGAUCGAACACCCAGAUGAAACCAUAUUUAUUAUUUCUUCUAUGGUUUCUCUUGAUCAUCACCGGAUUCUCCGCUUCAAUUGGCGAUUCCUCAAUUUCGAAACCCUCAGGGCCUCCCGUCUCGAAUCUUAAAGGUAAUAUCACCAUUUCUGAAACGACAGAUCCCCUCAUUUCGAAUCUCGUCUUAAAUGGGAAUCUCAAUCUCGAGCCUUUCCAGAGCUCCGACUCUCCAGAGGGUAGAACUCUGUUGUCUCUUCCUCCAUCAGAGGAUGCUAAAGAACUUUUUGCCACCAUGGAUGGUAUGAUUCAUUUAGUUGACAUCAAGUCCAGAAAAGUCCUCUGGUCAAUCGAUUUAGGACAGAGACUUUUUACCUAUGGCAUGGGUAAAGACAUCUCUUCUGAUGUUAAGGAUGACUGGGAAUUCUAUGUGCACAGGUCAUUCAGUAAACAGAGAUUGGAAGAAAUUCUAAAAGUUACACCGCAAUUUCUAGAGAAUGGAGCAGUAUUAGUCGGGUCAAAGACAACUAUUGUCUAUGUUCUUGAUGUCAAGACUGGGCAAAUACUUGAUAAAGUUGGUUCUCCAAUGUUAGGGGUACCUGUUGAUGAUGAGCAGCAUCCUUUAUCCAAGAAAGAUAUUGAUGCAGCUGAAGUGCUUCUUAUCACCAGGACCGGAUAUGAAUUUAUGUCUCAUGCUAUAAAGUCAAAUGAAGCUUUGUGGCUUAUAGCCUCUUCCAUUAUUGAGGCUGGUCAAGUAAAAGUUAAUAUUGUCCCCAAUCUUGAACUAUUUGAGGUUGAUCAUAAAGACAGAGCAAUGGCAUCUCUACUCACUGAUGCUGAUUACACUGAUAAAUUGAAUGCUGUGGAACUUAGCACACCAUCGAGAACUCAUUAUGAACACAGAAUUCACACUCUGCCUGAAGGUGAAAUGCUUUCUUUAUUGCUUUCCCUGUCUCAGCUGUUGGGUGUUUCUUUCCAAUCCAAAGUACUUUCUCUACCAUCCCAUCCCCCAGACAGGACACUUCCUUUGCCGGCUGCAAGUCAUAAUCCUUUACAGCAUAUGUUUGACAAGGUAUCUGAGGCACAGAAAGUUAGAAAUCAAGAAACGAUCUCUUCACUAACUUUUGAAAGUUUGAGAAGCAUUCACUAUACUGAUAAAGCUACAAUUGGUCUUGUAUUAUGUGUUGUGGGCAUAGGCUUGCUCUUUUUCUUGUACCGCCAUACUCUAGCAGUUACUAAUGAAAGUAAAUUGGGAAAGCAGUCAAAUGAGUUUGAAGGGCAGAUUGUAGUUCCCAAGAGGAAGAAAGCUCGGAAAUCUGGACACAAUAAGAACACUGCAAAUAUUAUGAAAAGUAAUAGACAUAUGUCAUCUGAGAGUGAAGAUCAAGAAAUUGAUGGGCAUUUACACUCAGGGAGAAAUGAGAAUCCAUUAUUGAAUCUUAUGGAACCUGUUGAUAGUGGUCGCAGUGGACGUAGGAUUGGCAAAUUGUUAGUGUCCAAUGUAGAAAUUGCCAAGGGAAGCAAUGGUACUGUUGUCUUUGAGGGAGUCUGUUAUGGCCGUCCUGUUGCUAUUAAACGCCUUCUACUGUCUCAUCAUGAUGUGGCUUUUAAAGAGAUUCAGAAUCUUACUGAAUCUGAUUCACAUCCAAACAUAGUUCGACUUUACAGAUAUGAAUCUGAUGAUAAUUUUGUAUAUCUUGCACUAGAGCGAUGCACUUGUAGCUUAAGUGAUUUAAUUCAGAUGUACUCAGAUUUUUCUCCCAAUCAAUUAUUGAUCAAAGACAAGGCUGCAGAUCCUGGGAAUCAGUAUCAUAUUCAGUUGCAUUCUCUGAAUGGACUUAAGAAUGAUGUUGAAUUGUGGAAGGGGAAUGGUUAUCCUUCAUCCCAGUUGUUAAAGCUUAUGAGGGAUAUUGUAUCUGGGCUAGCACAUCUGCAUGAAUUGGGGAUAAUCCAUAGGGACUUAAAACCUCAAAAUGUGUUGAUAAUCAAGGAGAGAUUUUUAUAUGCAAAACUUUCUGAUAUGGGGAUCAGCAAACGCCUUCCUACCAACAUGUCUUCCUUGGGUCAUCAAGUUACUGGCUGUGGUAGUUCGGGAUGGCAGGCACCUGAACAACUUCUUCAUAGACGCCAAACUCGUGCAGUAGAUUUAUUUAGUUUAGGUUGUGUCCUCUUUUAUUGUGUCAGUGGAGGAAGACACCCAUUUGGUGACCAUCUUGAACGUGACAUCAAUAUUGUGAAGAAUAGGGUAGACCUUUUCCCUGUAGAGCAUAUACCAGAAGCUAUGGAUCUUUUCUCUCAUUUACUCGACUUUGAGCCUGAGCUGAGGCCAAAGGCACUAGAAGUGUUGCACCAUCCUGUCUUUUGGGAUUCUGAGAUGCGGCUUUUCUUUCUUCGAGAUACUAGUGACAGGGUGGAAUUAGAAGAUAGGGCAAAUGAAUCUGAUCUUUUAAAAGCGUUAGAAAGUAUUGCUCCAGUGGCUUUAAAUGGGAAAUGGGAUGACAAGAUGGAAGCAGCAUUCAUCAGAAACAUUGGGCAUUAUAGGCGUUAUAAGUUUGAUAGUAUUCGUGAUUUAUUGCGGGUCAUACGAAACAAGUUGAAUCAUUACAGGGAACUUCCAAAAGAAAUCCAGGAAAUUCUCGGGCCGAUUCCUGAAGGAUUUGAUGGUUAUUUCUCAGCUCGUUUUCCUAAACUCUUAAUUGAAGUAUACAAAGUCGUACACAGAUACUGCAGAGAGGAGGAAUGCUUCAGUAAGUACUUCAAAAGUAGCGUGGUGUAGUUCUUUAAAUGUUGCAGAAGAUGCAAACGGAACCGUGGGACCAUGUUUAUUUAUUGAGGGAUCAGCCACAUGGUGAUUGGUGAACACUGAACAAUGCUCUUACGCACUCAUUACAAGAACUGUCCGCCGUUGCAAGUUGGCAGCCGCUGCAAACUUGCCUGCUGCAAAGCUUGGAAGUGCUGCAAAUUGCAAAAAACGCUGUCCGCCACUGCAAACUCGUCGACGCUGGUCGCCGUUAAUCGUAGUUGGUUGGUGUCUGUCGCUGUCAAACGCCAGAGGUGCUGGCCGCCGCUGCAAACCUGCCUGCCGCAAAGCCUGGAAGUGCUGCAAAUUGCAAAAAACGCUAGCCGCCACUGCAAACUCGUCAUUGCUGGUCGCCGGUCACCGUUAAUCGCCAUUGGUCGGCGUGUCACCGUCGAACGUCGGAGGUGCUGGCCGCCGCAGGUGGUCGGUUGGGUGUGGGGGCUGAGAGGAGGGAAGAACGAAGGGUUAGAACGAAAAUGAAGUUCUAACCCUACAUUCGAUUAAUUGAUUUGGGAUGGGGAUAUUAAAGUAAUUUUACUUUUUUAUUUUAUUUUAUUUAUAACAGUGAGAAUAAA